AAGGCUAUGGUCAGGGGGCAUCUACAAAGAUGUCGCAAGCACAGGAUGAGAUCAGAUCUAAUAGAUUGAGAGAAGUAUGGACCAUACUAGAAUAAAAUACUUUUUGGCAAGGGGGCAUAUAGGAGCACAACAUAGAAUUAGUCGAGGUGACUAAUAUUUUGAAGCAGAAUCAAAGAUGAGAUGAAGUAAUAAUCAAUAAGUCCUUAAAACGGCCAAUGCUACUCUAGGUCAGCGGUCCUACAGUCAGCAUGGCUUUGAUACCACUUAUGUCACACCCGGUUUUAGAAGGUAAACCGAAUGCGAACCAUGUACGUGCCAAGAUCAGUAAUUCACGUACACAGCGAUUACAUAAAUGACUCAUCAUAGCACAAUGCUUCCAAUUUACAAUAAAGAGUCAGUAAUACUAUUACAGACUAGAGCCAUUUACAUAUAAUAUAAAUCAAAGUACACAGAAUCGAAACGUAGCCAACAUAAACAACCCACCACAGGCAGCUGACAGGGGGAGGUCGCUAGCCUAAUCCUCGAACUCGUCGAAGUCCUGGAACCCCUGGAGAUCCACCUCGACACCGUUCUCCUUCUUCUUUACCUGAGCAUAGGUUGCACCAAAGGCAACCUGGUGUUUUGUGAAAGCAAGGGUGAGUACACAUCAACGUACUCAGCAAAUGUCCCGUUUGGCUGCAGUGAACUAGCUUUAUGUGGAGUUAAGUCAAGCAGUUGCUUUUAGUUGGUCAGGUUAUUAUUACUAGUAGAAAGCCAGUUUUAGCGUUAACCCAAGUUAUCAACCCAAAGUACCCUUUCCAAACGGAAAUAAUACCACUUACCAUUACCAUAGUCAUAAUCAAAAACCAUCAUUCUCAUCACCACCUGUAAUCCGAACAUCUCUGAUCAAGUAUCACUAAUCACUGGAGCUCCCUUGGCCGCUCAUAACCGCGAGCACGACUAAUAUAUCAGUUUCAUAACACUCUGCAGAGGUUGCGCACUUUACCCACAAGCCGUGAUUCCCUCUCUAGCCCGGGCUUGAAAGACCCUUAUUCACUACCAAGGUGAAUGUCCAGGGAUUCACUACGAAGCCUUUACAAAGAUUCCCUGAGGCUGUAGCCGCCCGUUAGGUUUCCUAAAUGCACUGCACUCCUCCCCAAGGGGCGAACCAACCUUGGCAGAGCGAGCCGCAUACACCGAGCCCCAUUAACGGCACAAUGGCGAAGCAAACUAUACCCCAGUUCCUCUAAUUAGUCAGCUAAGGGCAUCCCAUUCCACCCUCAAGGUUGCACUGUUUUCCCGGGUGGUCAUCCAACGAACAGGUCCUUACGGAGAGGCAAUCGAGAAACCGCUCGAGCCCCCUAAAGUAUCACCAGUCCAACACCAUAAUCAUAAUGACAACAUCGUAUCAUAAGUGUUCACAUCAUGUUCAUUGAUUAAAGUAAAGCAAUAGCAUGAAUCUAACCAUAGUAGCCCAAAAGGUAAUCAAGGACCACGUGAAUAGAAAGCUAGUCAAUCCUUAGGUUGAUCAUGGUAUGCGGGUUGAUGAAUUAUAAAGUAAAUGGGACAUAAUAGGUCAGAGGACACUUGCCUUCACCAAACAGAUGCUCAGGGUCUUUAACUUCGUGGAACUCGAAGAGCUGGGUCAUUUGGUCGCCGAAGCUUGAUCGUCGAUUCCUCGAAGUUCGGAGUUGGAUCGCAGUCUAUUCGCGACGCACAGCGAAUACAAACAGGAACAAACAAACAACCAUAUAUAUGCAUAGGAACAUUACAUCAUUCAAGUAAAGCAUAGUAAAAUACGCAAAAUAAAAUAGAGUGUGCUACUAUGGUCACACGAGGACAAAGAAACGCGAUAGUUGGAGCUAUGGUCGAGAAGUCAACGGGUUUACGCUAAGCAAGUAUUAAAUGGAAUAUUUAAUCCGAUAUCUCUAUAUUAAUUGAUAUUAAUUAAAUGUAAACUAACACUGCUACUUAGUUCUAGUCUAACUUACCCUUUUAAUAGUUGAUGAUCAAAUAAGUAACUAAUUAAUUCACAUGAGUAAUUAUAAACAAAUGGUUUAAUCUCGCACGCGGCGAGGCGUGUGACACACGCGAACGACGCGCGACAACGCGGGCGAACAACACGCGCGGACGACACGCGACGACGCGCGCGACACACGCGAAUGACUAACUAAUUUCGUGUUUAUACUAAGCAAGAAUAAAUUAAAAACAUUUGAAUUGGCAUAAUCACAUUAACAUGUAUUAAUAAAAGGGGAGCUUAAAACGAUAAGUUAUUUUUAACUAACAGUUAUUUUUAAUAACCAACGAACGAACUAACAAUUAACUAAAUAAAUAAAACAUGGAUCUUGACAAAACAAUAUUUUUAACGUGUGCACGACAUUAUUACGAAGCUAACGCAAUCUGAACAAUAUAAAAUGGAUUUAUAACAUAAACUCUAACAUGUAUUUAAUAAACUGCAAAUUUAAAGUGAUAUGGUGCGUUGUGAUUGGUCCGAGCCAAAUCCCAGGGAUGGUCAUGGAUUUUGCAUCCACCUCGGAUCCUUGGAGGACUGUUUCCCUUGAUCUCAUGCAGGCAGGAGAGGAAUACGACAUGCAACGUGGGGCUCACGGUCAUUUCUACUUGCAUGCCUUUUUCCCAUGCAUGACGUGUACGGUUGAUUUUUCUCUCCCUACCACCACGGGGCAUUCAAGCGAGUUAGUUGCUGGCCAGGAGAUGGACCACGUCGGUGUCGGCGGCCAUGGCCAGGCGACGGUGAUGCGGCCAGUGGAGCAGGGUAGCGGCCCCCGACAGUUCUUCCAUGGACGAGCUGCAAGGGGAAGGAGCCCACCGGUCGGAGCGGGCGUGGCCGCUCGCCGGCCAGGGCGUGCAGUGGCCAUGGUGGGUCGGUGGUGCUCAUGGCACGGCAGCGUGGCAUCGCGGCAAUAGAGAAGGAGAGGGGAAAUAGCAUAGCAUGGCCUUACCUUGGCAACGCGAGAUGUAGCGACCACACAUGCCAACAAGAUCGUCGGAGCAGUGGGCGUAUGGCGGAAGUGACGUGUGCGCAGGGCAUGACGACGGCCAUGGCUACGCGGCUGCGGCGGCGUCCGGGCACAGCAACACGUAGGGGAUGGGCGAGGGCUCUAAUCGCACGCCUCCAUGGGGCUUUUGCGGAGGGUGCUGGGAGCUCGGCCAGAGGACAUGCACGUGGGGCUUCUCUGCAGGACGACGAGCGCAGAGAGGGCGAGGCGAGCGCGAGAUGCAGCAAGGUGAGGCGAGAUGCCGCGAGGCGAGGAUGUGGUGCGGCGGCUGCGCGCAAGACGUGAGGGAGUGGCGGUUUGAGGAAGAUGAACAGUGUGCAGCGGCGGCU
rnacentral:lncRNA from 1 species